GGGCACAUGGUAUAGUUGGUUAUCACGCUCGCUUAGCAUUUAAGGAUGUCUGACAUUGCAUGCGAGAGGUGUUGGGUUCAAUUCCCCAAUGUGUCCA